UACAGAGGGGGCAAGCGUUAUUCGGAAUUAUUGGGCGUAAAGGGCGCGUAGGCGGCCUGGCAAGUGGAAGGUGAAAUCCCUCGGCUUAACCGAGGAACUGCCCUCCAAACUGCUUGGCUUGAGUCCGGGAGAGGUGAGUGGAAUUCCCAGUGUAGCGGUGAAAUGCGUAGAUAUCGGGAGGAACACCGGUGGCGAAAGCGGCUCACUGGACCACAACUGACGCUGAGGCGCGAAAGCUAGGGGAGCAAACAGG
rnacentral:rRNA from 1 species